AACGAACGCUGGCGGCAGGCUUAACACAUGCAAGUCGAACGCCUCCUUCGGGGUGAGUGGCAGACGGGUGAGUAACGCGUGGGAACGUGCCCUUCAGUUCGGUAUAACCCAGGGAAACAUGUGCUAAUACCGGAUACGUGCGAGAGCAGGAAGAUGUAUCGCUGAAGGAUCGGCCCGCGUCGGAUUAGCUAGUUGGUGGGGUAAUGGCCCACCAAGACGACGAGCAGUAGCUGGUCUGAGAGGAUGAUCAGCCACAUUGGGACUGAGACACGGGCCAAAAUCAUAAGAGAAGCAGCAGUGGGGAAUAUUGCGCAAUGGGUGAAAGCCUGACGCAGCGACGCCGCGUGGACGAUGAAGGCCUUCGGGUUGUAAAGUCCUUUUAACUGGGAAUAUUAUGACUGUACCAGUUGAAUAAGUCACGGCUAACUACGUGCCAGCAGCCGCCGCGG
rnacentral:rRNA from 1 species